rnacentral:rRNA from 1 species
AUACGGAGGAUGCGAGCGUUAUCCGGAUUUAUUGGGUUUAAAGGGAGCGUAGGCGGGAGCUUAAGUCAGCGGUUAAAUGGUGCGGCUCAACCGUGCCCUGCCGUUGAAACUGGGUUUCUUGAGAGUGCAAGAGGCGGAUGGAAUUCAUGGUGUAGCGGGGAAAUGCUUAGAUAUCAUGAAGAAAUCCGAUUGCGAAGGCAGUCCGCUGGGGCACGUCUGACGCUGAUGCUCGAAGGUGCGGGAAUCAAACAGGAUUAGAUACCCUGGUAGUCCGCACGGUAAACGAUGAUUACCCGCUGUCGGCGGUAGACAGUCGGCGGCCAAGCGAAAGCGAUAAGUAAUCCACCUGGGGAGUACGCCGGCAACGGUGAAACUCAAAUGAAUUGGCGGGG